rnacentral:rRNA from 1 species
GAUGAACGCUGGCGGCGUGCCUAAUACAUGCAAGUCGAGCGAACGGACGAGAAGCUUGCUUCUCUGAUGUUAGCGGCGGACGGGUGAGUAACACGUGGAUAACCUACCUAUAAGACUGGGAUAACUUCGGGAAACCGUAGCUAAUACCGGAUAAUAUUUUGAACCGCAUGGUUCAAAAGUGAAAGACGGUCUUGCUGUCACUUAUAGAUGGAUCCGCGCUGCAUUAGCUAGUUGGUAAGGUAACGGCGUACCAAGGCAACGAUGCAUAGCCGACCUGAGAGGGUGAUCGGCCACACUGGAACUGAGACACGGUCCAGACUCCUACGGGAGGCAGCAGUAGGGAAUCUUCCGCAAUGGGCGAAAGCCUGACGGAGCAACGCCGCGUGAGUGAUGAAGGUCUUCGGAUCGUAAAACUCUGUUAUUAGGGAAGAACAUAUGUGUAAGUAACUGUGCACAUCUUGACGGUACCUAAUCAGAAAGCCACGGCUAACUACGUG